GACCACAUCACGUUGAAACAUCGGUUCCUAUACGAUCACCGAAGUUAAGCAAUAUCGAUACUCGUCAGUACAUGCAUCGGUGACCGCUUCGGAAUACUAGGUGUUGUAA